rnacentral:rRNA from 1 species
GACGAACGCUGGCGGCGUGCUUAACACAUGCAAGUCGAACGGAAAGGCCCUGCUUUUGUGGGGUGCUCGAGUGGCGAACGGGUGAGUAACACGUGAGUAACCUGCCCUUGACUUUGGGAUAACUUCAGGAAACUGGGGCUAAUACCGGAUAGGAGCUCCUGCUGCAUGGUGGGGGUUGGAAAGUUUCGGCGGUUGGGGAUGGACUCGCGGCUUAUCAGCUUGUUGGUGGGGUAGUGGCUUACCAAGGCUUUGACGGGUAGCCGGCCUGAGAGGGUGACCGGCCACAUUGGGACUGAGAUACGGCCCAGACUCCUACGGAGGCAGCAGUGGGGAAUAUUGCACAAUGGGCGGAAGCCUGAUGCAGCAACGCCGCGUGCGGGAUGACGGCGUUCGGGUUGUAAACCGCUUUCGCCUGUGACGAAGCGUGAGUGACGGUAAUGGGUAAAGAAGCACCGGCUAACUACGUG